rnacentral:tRNA from 1 species
GGUUGUGGCUCAGUGGCAGAGCGCUUGCCUUGAACGUGUGAGGCACUGAGUUUGAGCCUCAGCACCA